rnacentral:rRNA from 1 species
GUGCCAGCCGCCGCGGUAAUACAUACUGUGCGAACGUUAUUCGGAUUCACUGGGCUUAAAGGGUGCGUAGGCGGCUUGUUAAGUAGGGUGUGAAAGCCCCCAGCUCAACUGGGGAACUGCACUCUAUACUGGCGAGCUGGAGUGAGAUAGGGGUGUGUGGAACUGCCAGUGGAGCGGUGAAAUGUGUUGAUAUUGGCAGGAACGCCGGUGGCGAAAGCGACACACUGGGUCUCAACUGACGCUGAGGCACGAAAGCCAGGGGAGCGAACGGGAUUAGAUACCCGAGUAGUCC